NNNNUCACUCAGCAGCACAUAUACACAAAACUGGGACAAUACAGAGAAGAAUACUAUGGCCCCUGCACAAGGAUGAUAUAAAAAUUACUUAUUGGGCAUCUCAUAUUG
ensembl:snRNA U6 U6 spliceosomal RNA